UAAAAGACAAACCCUGGGUUUCCGUGCCAACGUUUAACUGUCCGUCUUAUAUGAAAUUUUUUUAUAAUUAGUAUUUUCAUUGCUGUUAGAUGAUAAAACAUGAUUAAUACUUUAUGCGUGACUUAUCUUUUUAAUUUUUUUUAUAAUUUUUUUAAAUAAGACGGACGGUCAAACGUUGGACACGAAAACCAGGGUUUGUCUCUUU
rnacentral:pre_miRNA from 1 species